rnacentral:rRNA from 1 species
ACGAACCGUACGAACGUUAUUCGGAAUUACUGGGCUUAAAGGGUGCGUAGGCGGCUCGGAAAGUUGGGUGUGAAAGCCCUCAGCUCAACUGAGGAAUGGCGCCCAAAACUACCGAGCUCGAGGAAGACAGAGGUGAGUGGAACUUAGGGUGGAGCGGUGAAAUGCGUUGAUAUCCUAAGGAACACCAGUGGCGAAAGCGACUCACUGGGUCUUUUCUGACGCUGAGGCACGAAAGCUAGGGGAGCGAACGG